ACUAUUACCUUAGAUAUCAACCUCAGGAAUUGAAGAAUUCGGCCUUUGAAUAAUAAGAUAUACCCAUAAUUAAGCGAUACAAGCGGCUACACCGUUAAGUUGGGUGUUUUUGUACAUAUUUUCGGGGUCGGAACAUUGUUUACAUUGUAAACAAUAUCACGCUCGGUUGCUUACGGAGAGAGCCGAAAAGGUCACAUGGCUUGUCACGUGACGCAGUUAUUUACAUCCGUCGCAAAGAAAAAAUGGAUUACGAGGUAAGUGUAAACAAACGCACAUGUCUUCGGUAUAACACAUACUUUGCGCCUUUCUGCUAAUUUAUGUUCGCAAAUAAUGAUUCUAUAGUGUUAUAAUAUAUAAGUUUCAAAAAUUGAGCUGGGUAAUUUGUGUUAUUUGGGCUUUGUCGUGCGAUAAAUAUAUAUAUCUAUCACUGCCGUUCAACUAGUGGGGCCCAAAAAAGGGUAAUUACAAUCGGAACAGAAACUAGAUGUAUUCAGUAAUUCAAUAAGAUUUUAGCUUGUUUAUGACUGUUUUCUUUUCAGAAAUGCACAGGUAUUGAUACUUUCUUUGUAUACAAUCAUAUUUGAUGUUUACAAUAAAUUCUGCGUUAAUCAUUUUGGUAUGAAUACAUGCAAGUAAUAAAGAGUACUACACAUGUACGUGUGACAUACGACACACCAGUGUUAGGCUACAUGUAUGUCAUUGUGAAAAGUUUAAUUGUGCAGAAUAAAUGCCAGAAGUAAUGAGUAGGUCCGCUAUGUUUCUACUUUUAUGUUCCUUCUUCCUUUGAUAGUUAUAGAAAAUUUCAAUCGCUUGGGACAUCAACACUAUAUAUAUAUAUAUAUGCUGGCUAAUUAUAUAUUCUGUUGUGUCAUAGACUCCAUCACCAGCUUCGCAAGGAACAAGUUCAAGUUUAGACAGUCCUGUCAGAGCUAGGGGAAGAGGGCGAGGCCGUUCACGUGCUAGGGGAUGAGGCAUAGGUCGUAGCACUGAUAGAUCUAGAACUGGCACAGCACGAGGGAGAAGAGUUGGUGGAAGAGGAGCCCGUGGAAGACAUCAGGGCCAGGAAAGUGACAGGGCAGAAAAUGCAGCAACCAGCUUGCAAGCCAGAAGAUAAAUAUUGAAAACAAGAAUUGAUGAAAUGUCACAUGAAGAGACUAAGUAUAUUUUGCAUCAGACAGCACAGCAGUUUCCUUCUUUGAUUUUUGACUUGGUCAAAGACAGUAGUGGAAACAUUGGAGGUUACCAUCCCAGACCAGAUGGAAACAUGUACAGUCCAGAUUGGUGUUUGUGGUAACUGCAGAGAAAUGCCUACACAACCAGAGAAGCUCUGCUGCAAGAAAGAUCUACCAAAUUGUAUAACUUUGCUUCCGGAUUUCAAAGUUCUUAUUUUGGACGAAGCUGUCUUGGCCCUAGCACGCCUUUACAGGCAAGACAUGUUUGCUUUGCCAAAUGAGGAGGACUGGAAGAAAGCCAACAGGCAAUAUUGCCUACAGACAAUAUAUAUUGUGGCAAGUUGGUCGUCUUGGUACUGGUGACAGACGGGUCAUCCCAAGCUGUGCGGUUUGGAAAAUUAGAGACGGGUUCCCUGAUGAAUUUGGACAG